UAGGGAAUCUUCGGCAAUGGACGAAAGUCUGACCGAGCAACGCCGCGUGAGUGAAGAAGGUUUUCGGAUCGUAAAACUCUGUUGUUAGAGAAGAACAAGGACGUUAGUAACUGAACGUCCCCUGACGGUAUCUAACCAGAAAGCCACGGCUAACUACGUGCCAGCAGCCGCGGUAAUACGUAGGUGGCAAGCGUUGUCCGGAUUUAUUGGGCGUAAAGCGAGCGCAGGCGGUUUCUUAAGUCUGAUGUGAAAGCCCCCGGCUCAACCGGGGAGGGUCAUUGGAAACUGGGAGACUUGAGUGCAGAAGAGGAGAGUGGAAUUCCAUGGGUAGCGGUGAAAUGCGUAGAUAUAUGGAGGAGCACCAGUAGCGAAGGCGGCUCUCUGGUCUGUAACUGACGCUGAGGCUAGAAAGCGUGGGGAGCAAACAGG
rnacentral:rRNA from 1 species